rnacentral:ncRNA from 2 species
CGGCGUUCUCAGGGCGGGGCGGAAUUCCCCACCGGCGGUAUGCAGCGCGAGCUGCGAGCCCGCGAGCGCCUUCCCGAAAGGGAAGGGUCAGCAGAUCAGGUGCGAGGCCUGAGCCGACGGUCACAGUCCGGAUGAAAGAGAACGCGC